CAGUAGCCGCGGGAAUACAGAGGAUUUAAACGUUAUCCGGAAUUAUUGGGGGUAAAGGGUACGUAGGUGGCCUUUUAAGCGUAGGGUAUAAGGCAAUGGCUCAAUCAUUGUUCGCCCUAUGAACUGGAAGGCUUGAGUGCAGGAGAGGAAAGCGGAAUUCCUAGUGUAGCGGUGGAAUGCAUAGAUAUUAGGAGGAACAUCAGCGGCGAAGGCGGCUUUCUGGACUGCAACUGACACUGAGGUACGAAAGCGUGGGGAGCAAACAGGAUUAGAGACCCGUGUAGUCCCUGUCUCUUAUACC
rnacentral:rRNA from 1 species